AUUGAACGCUGGCGGCAGGCUUAACACAUGCAAGUCGAGCGGGGUGAUGGUGCUUGCACUAUCACUUAGCGGCGGACGGGUGAGUAAUGCUUAGGAAUCUGCCUAUUAGUGGGGGACAACAUCUCGAAAGGGAUGCUAAUACCGCAUACGUCCUACGGGAGAAAGCAGGGGAUCACUUGUGACCUUGCGCUAAUAGAUGAGCCUAAGUCGGAUUAGCUAGUUGGUGGGGUAAAGGCCUACCAAGGCGACGAUCUGUAGCGGGUCUGAGAGGAUGAGCCGCCACACUGGGACGGAGACACGGACCAGACUCCUACGGGAGGCAGCAGUGGGGAAUAUUGGACAAUGGGGGGAACCCUGAUCCAGCCAUGCCGCGUGUGUGAAGAAGGCCUUAUGGUUGUAAAGCACUUUAAGCGAGGAGGAGGCUCUUUUGGUUAAUACCCAAGAUGAGUGGACGUUACUCGCAGAAUAAGCACCGGCUAACUCUGUGCCAGCAGCCGCCGUAA
rnacentral:rRNA from 1 species